AAUCAACGCUGGCGGCGUGCCUCAGACAUGCAAGUCGGACGAUUAAAGCUCUCUUCGGAGAGUGUAUAGAGUGGCGCACGGGUGAGUAACACGUAAGUAAUCUACCCUCGAGUGGGGAAUAACGUCCGGAAACGGACGCUAAUACCGCAUAAUGCAGCGGCACCGCAAGGUGACAGUUGUUAAAGGAGCAAUUCGCUUGAGGAGGAGCUUGCGGCGGAUUAGCUUGUUGGUAAGGUAAUGGCUUACCAAGGCUACGAUCUGUAUCCGGUCUAAGAGGACGGUCGGACACACUGACACUGAAUAACGGGUCAGACUCCUACGGGAGGCAGCAGUCGGGAAUUUUGGGCAAUGGGCGAAAGCCUGACCCAGCAACGCCGCGUGAAGGAUGAAGUAUUUCGGUAUGUAAACUUCGAAAGAAUAGGAAGAAUAAAUGACGGUACUAUUUAUAAGCUCCGGCUAACUACGUGCCAGCCGCCGCAGUAAGAC
rnacentral:rRNA from 1 species